rnacentral:rRNA from 1 species
UACGGAGGGUGCAAGCGUUAAUCGGAAUUACUGGGCGUAAAGCGCGCGUAGGCGGCUCUUUAAGUCGGAUGUGAAAGCCCCGGGCUCAACCUGGGAACUGCAUCCGAUACUGGGGAGCUAGAGUGUAGGAGAGGGAGGUAGAAUUCCAUGUGUAGCAGUGAAAUGCGUAGAUAUAUGGAGGAAUACCAGUGGCGAAGGCGGCCUCCUGGCUUAACACUGACGCUGAGGUGCGAAAAGCGUGGGGAGCAAA